rnacentral:rRNA from 1 species
UGGGGAAUAUUGCACAAUGGGCGAAAGCCUGAUGCAGCAACGCCGCGUGAGUGAUGAAGGUCUUCGGAUUGUAAAGCUCUGUCUUUUGGGACGAUAAUGACGGUACCAAAGGAGGAAGCCACGGCUAACUACGUGCCAGCAGCCGCGGUAAUACGUAGGUGGCGAGCGUUGUCCGGAUUUACUGGGCGUAAAGGGUGCGUAGGCGGAUGUUUAAGUGAGAUGUGAAUCCGCCGGGUCAUUAACUU